CGAAUGCUGACAUAAGUAACGAUAAAGCGGGUGAAAAGCCCGCUCGCCGGAAGACCAAGGGUUCCUGUCCAACGUUAAUCGGGGCAGGGUGAGUCGACCCCUAAGGCGAGGCCGAAAGGCGUAGUCGAUGGGAAACAGGUUAAUAUUCCUGUACUUGGUGUUACUGCGAAGGGGGGACGGAGAAGGCUAUGUUGGCCGGGCGACGGUUGUCCCGGUUUAAGCGUGUAGGCUGGUUUUCCAGGCAAAUCCGGAAAAUCAAGGCUGAGGCGUGAUGACGAGGCACUACGGUGCUGAAGCAACAAAUGCCCUGCUUCCAGGAAAAGCCUCUAAGCAUCAGGUAACAUCAAAUCGUACCCCAAACCGACACAGGUGGUCAGGUAGAGAAUACCAAGGCGCUUGAGAGAACUCGGGUGAAGGAACUAGGCAAAAUGGUGCCG
rnacentral:rRNA from 1 species